UGGGGAAUUUUGGACAAUGGGCGAAAGCCUGAUCCAGCAAUGCCGCGUGUGUGAAGAAGGCCUUCGGGUUGUAAAGCACUUUUGUCCGGAAAGAAAUCCUUGGCUCUAAUACAGUCGGGGGAUGACGGCACCGGAAGAAUAAGCACCGGCUAACUACGUGCCAGCAGCCGCGGUAAUACGUAGGGUGCAAGCGUUAAUCGGAAUUACUGGGCGUAAAGCGUGCGCAGGCGGUUUGCUAAGACCGAUGUGAAAUCCCCGGGCUCAACCUGGGAACUGCAUUGGUGACUGGCAGGCUAGAGUAUGGCAGAGGGGGGUAGAAUUCCACGUGUAGCAGUGAAAUGCGUAGAGAUGUGGAGGAAUACCGAUGGCGAAGGCAGCCCCCUGGGCCAAUACUGACGCUCAUGCACGAAAGCGUGGGGAGCAAACAGGAUUNGAUACCCUGGUAGUCCACGCCCUAAACGAUGUCAACUAGUUGUUGGGGAUUCAUUUCCUUAGUAACGUAGCUAACGCGUGAAGUUGACCGCCUGGGGAGUACGGUCGCAAGAUU
rnacentral:rRNA from 1 species